GCGCAAGUUCCCUGUCACAGUUGUUAUGUAAUAUUUGCGUGACACAUCACGUGAACUCAAAGCACAUGCUUCACGUUCUAAAAUGGCGAAACGACAAGGAGUUCUCGAGAACUUUUUUGCCAAAAAACUCGAAAGGGAAUUUGUUGCUGUGCAGUUGAAGUUGGUACGUGCAGUCUGCACUUUCGAAACAUUGAAGUAUUGCUUAUCACAGACAAAAUGUGGUGGAUCACAAGGACUCCAAGAAAUUGUAGGUUUUGGGUUUCCUUCCACUUGGCAGGUAAGUGAUGCAGUAUUUCCUUGGCCAACAAAGACCUUCUUUGCAAGUUUGACCUUGGGGGAAA